rnacentral:misc_RNA from 1 species
UCCGAGUUGACCCCGGCAGUCUCCCAUGAGUCCCCAACUAAAUGCUGGCAACAUGCGACAGGGGUUGCGCUCGUUGCGGGACUUAACCCAACAUCUCACGACACGAGCUGACGACAACCAUGCACCACCUGUGCACGGCCCUAAAAGGACCUCCCAUCUCUGGGAGAUUUCCGUGCAUGUCAAGCCUAGGUAAGGUUCUUCGCGUUGCAUCGAAUUAAGCAACAUGCUCCGCCGCUUGUGCGGGCCCCCGUCAAUUCCUUUGAGUUUCAGCCUUGCGGCCGUACUCCCCAGGCGGAGUGCUUAAUGCGUUAGCUGCAGCACUAAGGGGCGGAAACCCCCUAACACUUAGCACUCAUCGUUUACGGCGUGGACUAC